AAAAUACAACCCUAUGCGGUGGAUCACUUGGCUCGCGAGUCGAUGAAGAGCGCAGCAAACUGCGUGAAUUAAUGUGAUUUGCAGGACACGUUGAUCAUCGAUAUCUUGAACGCAUAUUGCGGUGAUGGAUCGCUUCCAUGACCACGCCUGUCUGAGGGUCGGUAUUA
rnacentral:rRNA from 1 species